UGUGGCGUUAAGUAGGCGCGCGCGGGCGGCGCCCCGCUCAUUCCCUCGCAGCGCCGGGCAGGGCUGGCUGCUGCCGCGCCUCGCCGCCGCGCCGGCCUCAGCCGCCCUUCCCUUCGCAUCCCGGAGGUGGGUGCCUGCUCGGAUCGUCCUGCUGGGGACUCCGCGGCCUUUCCCUAUGCCCUGUAGCUCUCCUCCUUUCUGGACUCAGUUGGGCCGCCGCUCCGGCGCUCCUCCUCCGGUGUGAGGCGCUUCCCGCUUAGGGCCGCGCCGCCUCUCGCUUCGUCCUCCUUCUUUCGGGUUUAUUCUCUUCGGCUGCCGCCACCCCUCGGGGGCUCUUGCCCGCCAUGAGUUACGGGCGCCCCCCGCCAGACGUGGAGGGCAUGACGUCCCUCAAGGUGGACAACCUGACCUACCGUACGUCCCCGGACACGCUCCGGAGGGUCUUCGAGAAGUACGGCCGCGUAGGCGACGUCUACAUCCCCCGGGACCGCUACACCAAGGAGAGCCGCGGGUUCGCUUUCGUCCGUUUCCACGACAAACGCGAUGCCGAGGACGCGAUGGAUGCCAUGGACGGGGCUGUGCUGGAUGGCCGUGAGCUCCGUGUGCAGAUGGCCCGCUACGGCCGCCCGCCCGACUCGCACCACAGUCGGCGCGGGCCGCCGCCGCGCCGCUACGGGAGCAGUGGCUACGGCCGCCGCAGCCGCAGCCCUAGAAGACGCCGUCGUAGCCGGUCUAGAAGCAGGAGCCGCUCUAGAUCACGCAGUCGGUCCCGUUACAGUCGGUCUAAGUCCCGCUCUCGCACACGCUCUCGGUCUCGCUCCACCUCGAAGUCCAGGUCUGCCAGGAGAUCCAAGUCAAAGUCCUCGUCUGUCUCCAGAUCCCGGUCCAGAUCAAGAUCACGAUCCAGAUCUAGAAGCCCUCCCCCUGCCUCAAAGAGGGAAUCCAACUCUAGAUCCAGGUCUAAGAGCCCUCCCAAGUCUCCGGAAGAAGAAGGAGCUGUAUCCUCCUAGGCUCAUGGUAAUGUACCUCGGGAUCGGCACAUGGUGCAUGUUACUUUAUUGUAGCACUUAGCCGGGGUGUUGGGUAGUUCUUAGACUAUUAAUAGCUCGAACCAAGUGAAUCCUAACGGGGCACAUUGUUAGUUAUUUUAUUUUUUUUCUUGAGCGGUGCUUUUUUUUGUUUGUUUAUUUGUUACUGAUUUAGGGAAAUUAAAUACCGAAGGGCUUUCUACAGAGAAAUUUUUUGUUGGUUGUUUUUUUUUACAGAGCAAAUGUUUUAUUGAGAGAUUAAUGGCUUGGUUUUAAUAAAAAAAAAUAUUGUAUGAGACGCAACCUAUGAUGAAAAUGACUAUUUCUUACUGUAUUUAUCCAACAUCUGCAUUUUCCCCUUUAAAGCUGCGGUCUCCUGUUUGCUAAAAGAAUAUUGGCCAGUAUUGCAGAUUUUAACUGAUUUGGCUGAUCCUCCAGGGACCAGUUUCUGUGGGCGUGUGUUGGAGCAGAUGCAUCAGAUAAAUGAGAACCCACAUAAAGGACGCCUUUGGGGGGAAAAGAUCGCUUGAGUCUUCAGUCCAUUGGAGAGACCCCUGGCACGAGCAACCAGCCGAUGAAAAAGGUUAUUUUGUAACAUUUUGUCUAACUUUUUACUUGUUUAAGUUGCGCCUCAAUUGGCAGAUUUUACAGUUUAUGUGCCAUUUUGUUGCUGUUAUUCAAAUUUCUUGUAAUUUAGUGAAGUGAACGACUACCGAUUUCAUUAUUGGCUUGGAUAAUUGAGGUAAAACUUCAUUUUUGUUUAUACAGUGCUGACUUAUUUGAAAUUAAAAAAAACCUAUGGGUAAUUUGCUGCCUCCAGUUUCAUACUGAAGAAAUGUGCAGCCGUUCUAUGCUGAGUAGCUAACCCUGUCAGAAAAAAAACAAAGUAUUUUCAAUUUUGUCUUUGUUCCUUUAAAAAUUCUGCAGAACUUUAAUUUGAAACUUAUUGUAAAUGUUUGGUUUUUUAAUUACUAUUAUUAUUUUAAACUUUGAAUUCAAAUAGUAUCUUCAAAUUCAAAUUGGUAGAAAUCUUUUCAGGUGACAGUUGAUAUUUGAAAAGGAAUUGUUUUAUCAGACUCAAUUCUAAUCUCUUCUCUUAUGUAUUUUUGUGCACUAGGCGCAGUUGUGUAGCAGUUGAGUAAUGCUGGUUAGCUGUUAAGGUGGCGUGUUGCAGUGCAGAGUGCUUGGCUGUUUCCUGUUUUCUCCUGAUUGCUCCUGUGUAACGAUGCCUUGUCGUGCAGAAACAAAUGGCUGUCCAGUUAAUUAAAAUGCCUGACAACUGCACUUCCAGUCACCCGGGCCUUGCGUAAAAAUAAUGGAGCAUACAGUGAGCACAUCUAGCUGAUGAUAUACACACCUUUAUUUUUUCCAGAAUGGUAAAACUUACCAACCUGCAUAUACGAACUUACAUAUGAGAAAUGUAAUGUUAAGAAAGAAAUGGUUCAUUCCUUUGUAAGUACUGAUUGGUGUAUCUUUUGCUUAAGACAUUCUGUACUAUACCCACUGUCUCUGUAGUUAAUAUUAAACAUUUUUUUUCUGUGUUAACUUUUCUCAAAUUAAUGUCUGAGUCAGCUUAUUUUUAGCUUGAAAAGAUUUCUGCAAUGAUACUGUCAAUGUUUAACUUCUAUAUGGUAACUGAAUGCUUAGAAAUCUUAUCCACUGGGAUUGCUUUUUCAAUCACUAUGGGCAAACUUAACAGGUAUUGUAACUAACCCAUAAUGUUGUGUGGUGAGUGGUGGACAUCAACCAUGAACACAGAAAUCAGGCAGGUUGCAGAAGAUAACACACUGAGCAGUACUAAUUGCAUUUGCUUUGUGCUUGCCCUGACUCAACAGGCUGCUGCUGGAUGGGGGGGCUGAUCUUACAGUUAAGAUUUAUCAUAUUGAUUUGGGUACCAAAUGAAUUGUAACUUCAUGUGUCAAGGGUUACUGUAAUGCCUUGUCAACUUUCAUGCAUGUAUGUUAAAUGGGAAUGGAAACAUCUGAAUAUUUGCAGUCUGGCUUAAUUGAGGAUUAAAAGUACUUUUCUACAAA